rnacentral:rRNA from 1 species
GAUAAUGCUGGGAUGUGAUGGGGAGCGAAAUUUAGUAGCGAAGUAGCUGAUUUCACACUGUCAAGAAAAGUCUCUAUCGAGGUUAAAGGUACCCGUACCGCAAACCGACACAGGUGGGUGAGGAGAGUAUCCUAAGGCCAGCGAGAGAACUGUUGUUAAGGAACUCGGCAAAAUGACCCCGUAACUUAGGGAUAAGGGGUGCCACCAUCAGGUGGCCGCAGAGAAUAGGCCCAAGCGACUGUUUACCAAAAACAUAGGUUUCUGCUAAGUCGCAAGACGAUGUAUAGGAGCUGACGCCUGCCCGGUGCUGGAAGGUUAAGGGGAUCUGUUAGAGCAAUCGAAGCAGUGAACUUAAGCCCCAGUAAACGGCGGCCGUAACUAUAACGGUCCUAAGGUAGCGAAAUUCCUUGUCGGGUAAGUUCCGACCCGCACGAAAGGCGUAACGAUUUGGGCACUGUCUCAACAACAGACUCGGUGAAAUUGUAAUUCCGGUGAAGAUGCCGGAUACCUGCGACAGGACGGAAAGACCCCAUGGAGCUUUACUGUAGCUUGACAUUGGGUCUUGGUACUACAUGUACAGGAUAGGUGGGAGGCUUUGAAACCAGGACGCCAGUUUUGGCGGAGCCAUCCUUGGGAUACCACCCUUGUA